UACGGGGGGGGCAAGCGUUGUUCGGAAUUACUGGGCGUAAAGGACUCGUAGGUGGCCAACUAAGUCAUACGUGAAAUCCCUCGGCUUAACCGGGGAACUGCGUCUGAUACUGGAUGGCUUGAGGUUGGGAGAGGGAUGCGGAAUUCCAGGUGUAGCGGUGAAAUGCGUAGAUAUCUGGAGGAACACCGGUGGCGAAGGCGGCAUCCUGGACCAAUUCUGACACUGAGGAGCGAAAGCCAGGGGAGCAAACGGG
rnacentral:rRNA from 1 species